CCUACGGGUGGCAGCAGUGGGGAAUAUUGCACAAUGGGCGCAAGCCUGAUGCAGCCAUGCCGCGUGUGUGAAGAAGGCCUUCGGGUUGUAAAGCACUUUCAGCGGGGAGGAAGGCGGUGAGGUUAAUAACCUCAUCGAUUGACGUUACCCGCAGAAGAAGCACCGGCUAACUCCGUGCCAGCAGCCGCGGUAAUACGGAGGGUGCAAGCGUUAAUCGGAAUUACUGGGCGUAAAGCGCACGCAGGCGGUCUGUCAAGUCGGAUGUGAAAUCCCCGGGCUCAACCUGGGAACUGCAUUCGAAACUGGCAGGCUAGAGUCUUGUAGAGGGGGGUAGAAUUCCAGGUGUAGCGGUGAAAUGCGUAGAGAUCUGGAGGAAUACCGGUGGCGAAGGCGGCCCCCUGGACAAAGACUGACGCUCAGGUACGAAAGCGUGGGGAGCAAACAGGAUUAGAUACCCCUGUAGUC
rnacentral:rRNA from 1 species